AGUACUCCCCAUAUUACCAUCGAGCAGAAGCAAUGAAUGACAAUUCUAUGUACGAUUCUCUUUUUUCUUUUUUGUAUUCAGGCAUAUGCUUCGAGGGGAUACAUAGUUGUAGCAAUUGAUUCUCCCAUGGACACUAAUAUGACAACAUAUCGUGAUGAGGAGGAAAAAUCAAGAGCUGAACUUGUUGUACUAUUUUCUUUCGCUGAAUGCUUGGAUGCUACUAUUUGAUUGAGGUGAUCUGCCUUACUACUUUUUCAUGGAAAAAAGGUGAUACAAUGCCAUUCAUAUAUGAUAUUGUAAGGAAAUGGAGAUUUUUUGUUGAUAAAGUAUAGUUUUCGUCUCAUACUGCAGCACUUAUUAUCUAAUAUCUAGCAUUCUAGCCUCUGAAAAUAAUACUUCUCUACAAAUUUUGAAGGUGUGGGACUUGAUAAAACUGGCGGAUUAUAUCUUACAGAGAAGGAAGAUAUUGACUCGUCAAGGAUAGAAUUACUGGUGAAUCACUUGGAGGUUAGGCGAGUCACUUUACAUACAAUAUCUAACUAUUUCUUAAACAUGUGGAGUUCAUAUAUGUUUUGUGUUGGAGGUAUGCAUGCAUGGUUUGCUGCUAACUUUAACUGAAUUGCAGUUUUACUAACAUUUGUUGUCAAACAUGUUUUAUCUUUGAUCAUUGUACUAGGCGAAAGUACAAAAAGACAUAAAUCCUAGCAUGCAUGCUAUCUUCCAGUCCUACUGCUGCAUCAGAUGCCAAACCUUGCAAAGUAGGUACUCUUCCAACCUAUAAUAUCAGUUUCAAGUGUGAUGAAAGAGCUGAGAAAAUGAAAGA